AUGGUCACGCGCGCCCACACGGCCCGGUUCCACGGUGACGCCCGCAUGCGAACGAGAGCGACGCGGCCACGCACGGAGCAGCAGAGCGGCAAAUAUCUGGCGGUGCUGGAAUAUGAUAAGAUCGGACGGACGGAUCGCCUGUUUGUUUAUUCGCGGCCGCUGUUGGUUUUUGCCUCUUGGGUCGGGUGCGUGUGUGGUGCCCCGGCAGUCACGGUCACGCAGCUUCCUCCUCUCUCUCUCUGUUGCAGCGUUGUUUCACGGCUGUGUACAGCUACACCCCGCCCGAGCCCUCCCUCCUGUUGCUUCUUCGCCGCGGAGCUUGCGGCAGCAGUAUUCAAUUCGAGCCUCCCGAGACUGACUUUUGGGGAGAUCUGUGCGUGCGUGUGGAAAUGGUUAAUAUAA
rnacentral:rRNA from 1 species